AUUGAACGCUGGCGGCAGGCCUAACACAUGCAAGUCGAGCGAGCGGCGGACGGGUGAGUAAUGUAGGGGGACUGACCGAUAGAGGGGGAUAACUACUAGAAAAGGUGGCUAAUACCGCAUACUAUGCGAUAACCCAGAUGGGAUUAGCUAGUAGGUUGGGUAAAGGCUCACCUAGGCGAAGAUCGCUAGCUGGUCUGAGAGGAUGAUCAGCCACACUGGGACUGGGACACGGCCCAGACUCCUACGGAGGCAGCAGUGGGGAAUAUUGCACAAUGGGCGCAAGCCUGAUGCAGCCAUGCCGCGUGUAUGAAGAAGGCCUUAGGGUUGUAAAGUACUUUCAGCGGGGAGGCGUUACCCGCAGAAGAAGCACCGGCUAACUCCGUGCCAGCAGCCGCGGUAAUAC
rnacentral:rRNA from 1 species